rnacentral:ncRNA from 2 species
AACGCACCUUGCGCCCUUUGGUAUUCCAAAGGGCAUGCCUGUUUGAGUGUCAUUAAAUUAUCAACCUUUUCUUUUGUAAUGAUUGAUCAGGCUUGGAUGUGGGGGCUGCGGGUCUCUCAGAGAUCGGCUCCCCUUAAAUGCAUUAGUGGAACCCUUUGUGGAUCAUUAUUGGCGUGAUAAUUAUCUAUCCCAGUGAUCGUGAAGCAAGCCUAACAAGCACCAGGGUUUGGCUUAUAACCGUCCCUCUCUGGGACAAAUCUUCAUUUUAAUGUGACCUCAAAUCAGGUAGGACUACCCGCUGAACUUAA